rnacentral:rRNA from 1 species
AAUCAACGCUGGCGGCGUGCCUCAGACAUGCAAGUCGAACGCGAAAGUCCCCUUCGGGGGACAAGUAGAGUGGCGCACGGGUGAGUAACACGUAGGUAAUCUACCUUCGGAUGGGGAAUAACAACCGGAAACGGUUGCUAAUACCGCAUAAUGCAGCGGCACCUAAUGGUGACAGUUGUUAAAGCGGGGGAUCGAAAGACCUCGCGUCUGAAGAGGAGCCUGCGGCGGAUUAGCUAGNGGUAAGGUAAUGGCUUACCAAGGCGACGAUCCGUAGCCGGCCUGAGAGGGCGGUCGGCCACACUGACACUGACAUACGGGUCAGACUCCUACGGGAGGCAGCAGUCGGGAAUUUUGGGCAAUGGGCGAAAGCCU